rnacentral:rRNA from 1 species
UACGUAGGGUGCGAGCGUUGUCCGGAUUUAUUGGGCGUAAAGGGCUCGUAGGCGGCCAACUAAGUCAGACGUGAAAUCCCUCGGCUUAACCGGGGAACUGCGUCUGAUACUGGAUGGCUUGAGUGUGGGAGAGGAAUGCGGAAUUCCAGGUGUAGCGGUGGAAUGCGCAGAUAUCAGGAGGAACACCGGUGGCGAAGGCGGGUCUCUGGGCAGUAACUGACGCUGAGGAGCGAAAGCGUGGGGAGCGAACAGG